rnacentral:rRNA from 1 species
GAUGAACGCUGGCGGCGUGCCUAAUACAUGCAAGUCGAGCGAACAGAUGAGGAGCUUGCUCCUCUGACGUUAGCGGCGGACGGGUGAGUAACACGUGGAUAACCUACCUAUAAGACUGGGAUAACUUCGGGAAACCGGAGCUAAUACCGGAUAAUAUAUUGAACCGCAUGGUUCAAUAGUGAAAGACGGUUUUGCUGUCACUUAUAGAUGGAUCCGCGCCGCAUUAGCUAGUUAGUAAGGUAACGGCUUACCAAGGCAACGAUGCGUAGCCGACCUGAGAGGGUGAUCAGCCACACUGGAACUGAGACACGGUCCAGACUCCUACGGGAGGCAGCAGUAGGGAAUCUUCCGCAAUGGGCGAAAGCCUGACGGAGCAACGCCGCGUGAGUGAUGAAGGUCUUCGGAUCGUAAAACUCUGUUAUUAGGGAAGAACAAAUGUGUAAGUAACUAUGCACGUCUUGACGGUACCUAAUCAGAAAGCCACGGCUAACUACGUG